rnacentral:rRNA from 1 species
GGGGAAUUUUGGACAAUGGGCGCAAGCCUGAUCCAGCCAUGCCGCGUGUCUGAAGAAGGCCUUCGGGUUGUAAAGGACUUUUGUCAGGGAAGAAAAGGCUGUUGCUAAUACCGACAGUUGAUGACGGUACCUGAAGAAUAAGCACCGGCUAACUACGUGCCAGCAGCCGCGGUAAUACGUAGGGUGCGAGCGUUAAUCGGAAUUACUGGGCGUAAAGCGAGCGCAGACGGUUACUUAAGCAGGAUGUGAAAUCCCCGGGCUCAACCUGGGAACUGCGUUCUGAACUGGGUGACUAGAGUGUGUCAGAGGGAGGUAGAAUUCCACGUGUAGCAGUGAAAUGCGUAGAGAUGUGGAGGAAUACCGAUGGCGAAGGCAGCCUCCUGGGAUAACACUGACGUUCAUGCUCGAAAGCGUGGGUAGCAAACAGGAUUAGAUACCCUGGUAGUCCACGCCCUAAACGAUGUCAAUUAGCUGUUGGGCAACUUGAUUGCUUAGUAGCGUAGCUAACGCGUGAAAUUGACCGCCUGGGGAGUACGGUCGCAAGAUUA